AGAUACCAGCUGGCUGCAACUGUUUAUUAAAAACACAGCACUGUGCAAACACGAAAGUGGACGUAUACGGUGUGACGCCUGCCCGGUGCUGGAAGGUUAAUUGAUGGGGUUAUCCGUAAGGAGAAGCUCUUGAUCGAAGCCCCAGUAAACGGCGGCCGUAACUAUAACGGUCCUAAGGUAGCGAAAUUCCUUGUCGGGUAAGUUCCGACCUGCACGAAUGGCGUAAUGAUGGCCAGGCUGUCUCCACCCGAGACUCAGUGAAAUUGAACUCGCUGUGAAGAUGCAGUGUACCCGCGGCAAGACGGAAAGACCCCGUGAACCUUUACUAUAGCUUGACACUGAACAUUGAGCCUUGAUGUGUAGGAUAGGUGGGAGGCUUUGAAGCGUGGACGCCAGUCUGCGUGGAGCCAACCUUGAAAUACCACCCUUUAAUGU
rnacentral:rRNA from 1 species